GACGAACGCUGGCGGCGUGCUUAACACAUGCAAGUCGAACGGAAAGGCUCCAGCUUGCUGGAGUACUCGAGUGGCGAACGGGUGAGUAACACGUGGGUGAUCUGCCCUGCACUUCGGGAUAAGCCUGGGAAACUGGGUCUAAUACCGGAUAGGACCGCACUUUGGUGUGUGUGGUGGAACGGUUUUUCUGGGGUGGGCUGAGCUCGCGGCCUAUCAGUUUGUUGGUGGGGUAAUGGCCUACCAAGACGGCGACGGGUAGCCGGCCUGAGAGGGUGGACGGUCACAUUGGGACUGAGAUACGGCCCAGACUGCUACGGGAGGAAGCAGUGGGGAAUAUUGCACAAUGGGGGCAACCCUGAUGCAGAGACGCCGCGUGGGGGAUGAAGGCCUUCGGCUUGUCAACUCCUCUCGCUAGGGAAGAAGCUUUUAGUGACGGUACCUGGAGAAGAAGCACCGGCUAACUACGUG
rnacentral:rRNA from 1 species